rnacentral:rRNA from 1 species
AACGAACGCUGGCGGCAUGCCUAACACAUGCAAGUCGAACGAGACCUUCGGGUCUAGUGGCGCACGGGUGCGUAACGCGUGGGAACCUGCCCUUAGGUUCGGAAUAACUCCCCGAAUGGGUGCUAUUACCGGAUAAUGUCUUCGGACCACAGAUUUAUCUCCUUUGGAUGGUCCGGCGUUGGAUUAGCUAGUUGGUAUGGUAAAAGCCUACCAAGGCGACGAUCCAUAGCUGGUCUGAGAGGAUGAUCCGCCACACUGGGACUGAGACACGGCCCAGACUCCUACGGGAGGCAGCAGUGGGUAAUAUUGGACAGCGGGCGAAAGGCUGAUCCAGCACGGCCGGGUGAGUGAUGAAGUCCUUAGGGUUGUAAAGCUCUUUUACCCAUGAUCAUAAUGACAGUACCGGGAGAAUAAGCCCCGGCUAACUCCGUG